rnacentral:rRNA from 1 species
GGGGGAAAAAUUAAUUAAUUAAUAUAAAAAAAAAAUUUUUUAAGGGAAAUAUUUAUGGGGGUUUAAGUAUUUUUAAAAAAAAAAAUUUUUAAUUUUAUAGUGGAGAGUAUAGUAAUAGAAAUUUGAAAUAACUUUUAAAAAGAAAUUAUUUAAAAGUAAUUUUAAUUUAAUGUAUCUUGAGUAUCAGAGUUUAUUAAAAAAAAUUUUAGGGGUAAAAAUUCUCGAAUUAAAAAGAGUUAAUUAAUUAAUAAAUUUAUUGUUAAAUAAAUAUUUUUAAUAGUUAAUUAGAAGUGAAAAGUUAUUCGUUUUUUAAUAUAUCUAGUUUUUUUAGAAAAAAAUUUAAUUUUGAAUUAAUUUAUAAAUUAAUUAAUUGUUUAAUUAUUUUAAAAAAAAGAUUAAUUUAAUAUUUUAAGGGAUAAGCUUUAUAUUAAAAUUUUAUAAGUAAAAUUAAUUAAAUUAAAAUUUUUAUAAUUUAUAUUGUUAAUAAAUUUUAAUUUUUUAUAAAUAAUUUUAAUAAAAGAAAAAUUUAAUUUAUUUUAAUUUUUUAUAAAAAUAUUAUUUUUAAUUUAGAAAAAUUAGUAAUAAUGAUAAAAUUAGUAUAUAAUUUGAAUUAAUAAAAUAAAUUUUAUAAAAAAUAAAUAAAAAGAAUUCGGCAAAAUUUUAUAUUCACCUGUUUAUCAAAAACAUGUCUUUUUGAAAAUAAUUUAAAGUCUAAUCUGCCCACUGAUAUAUUUAUAUUAAAGGGCUGCAGUAUAUUGACUGUACAAAGGUAGCAUAAUCAAUAGUCUCUUAAUUAGUGACUUGUAUGAAUGAUUGGAUGAAAUAUAAACUGUUUCUAAUUUAGUAAUUGAAUUUAAUUUUUUAGUUAAAAAGCUAAAAUAAAUUUAAAAGACGAGAAGACCCUAUAGAGUUUUAUAUUUUUUAUUUAUUUUUAAAGUAUAAGUUUGUUUUAAAAUUAUUUAAAAUUUAUUUUAUUGGGGUGAUAAAAAAAUUAAUUAAACUUUUUUUUAAAAAUUACAUUAAUAUAUGAAUUUUUUGAUCCAUAAUUUAUGAUAAAAAGAAAGAAUUACCUUAGGGAUAACAGCGUAAUUUUUUCUUUUAGUUCAAAUAAUAGAAAAAGUUUGCGACCUCGAUGUUGGAUUAAGAUAAAAUUUAAAUGCAAAAGUUUAAAAUUUUGAUCUGUUCGAUCAUUAAAAUCUUACAUGAUCUGAGUUCAAACCGGUGUAAGCCAGGUUGGUUUCUAUCUUUAAAUAAUUAAAAUAUUUUAGUACGAAAGGAUCAAUUAUUUAAAAUAAUUUUAUUAGAAGAAUAUUAUUAAUUUUUAAAUAAAUAUAAUAAAAAAAAAUCU